rnacentral:tRNA from 1 species
GAGGGUAUAGCUCAGUGGUAAAGCAUACACAAGGUCCUGGGUUCAAUCCCCUGUACCUCCU